GGAAUCGUGUUGGCGCUACUAUUC
rnacentral:siRNA from 1 species